rnacentral:rRNA from 1 species
AGAUUGAACGCUGGCGGCGUGCCUAACACAUGCAAGUCGUUAUCGGUAACAGGUGUAGCAAUACAUGCUGACGAGAGGCGGACGGGUGAGUAACGCUUGGGAAUCUGCCUAUUAGUGGGGGACAACCCGGGGAAACUCGGGCUAAUACCGCAUACGCUCUACGGAGGAAAGCAGGGGAUCGCAAGACCUUGCGCUAACAGAUGAGCCCAAGUCGGAUUAGCUAGUUGGUAGGGU